GAUGAACGCUGGCGGCGUGCCUAAUACAUGCAAGUCGAGCGAACAGACGAGGAGCUUGCUCCUCUGACGUUAGCGGCGGACGGGUGAGUAACACGUGGAUAACCUACCUAUAAGACUGGGAUAACUUCGGGAAACCGGAGCUAAUACCGGAUAAUAUAUUGAACCGCAUGGUUCAAUAGUGAAAGACGGUUUUGCUGUCACUUAUAGAUGGAUCCGCGCCGCAUUAGCUAGUUGGUAAGGUAACGGCUUACCAAGGCAACGAUGCGUAGCCGACCUGAGAGGGUGAUCGGCCACACUGGAACUGAGACACGGUCCAGAGUCCUACGGGAGGCAGCAGUAGGGAAUCUUCCGCAAUGGGCGAAAGCCUGACGGAGCAACGCCGCGUGAGUGAUGAAGGUCUUCGGAUCGGAAAACUCUGUUAUGAGGGAAGAACAAAUGUGUAAGUAACUAUGCACGUCUUGACGGUACCUAAUCAGAAAGCCACGGCUAACUACGUG
rnacentral:rRNA from 1 species